UGGGGAAUAUUGCACAAUGGAGGGAACUCUGAUGCAGCGACGCCGCGUGAACGAAGAAGGCUUUCGAGUCGUAAAGUUCUUUUAUAUGGGAAGAUAAUGACGGUACCAUAAGAAAAAGCCCCGGCUAACUACGUGCCAGCAGCCGCGGUAAUACGUAGGGGGCUAGCGUUGUCCGGAAUCACUGGGCGUAAAGGGUUCGCAGGCGGAAAUGCAAGUCAGGUGUAAAAGGCAGUAGCUUAACUACUGUAAGCAUUUGAAACUGCAUAUCUUGAGAAGAGUAGAGGUAAGUGGAAUUUUUAGUGUAGCGGUGAAAUGCGUAGAUAUUAAAAAGAAUACCGGUGGCGAAGGCGACUUACUGGGCUCAUUCUGACGCUGAGGAACGAAAGCGUGGGUAGCAAACAGU
rnacentral:rRNA from 2 species